rnacentral:rRNA from 1 species
AGUCCUACGGGAGGCAGCAGUAGGGAAUCUUCCACAAUGGACGAAAGUCUGAUGGAGCAACGCCGCGUGAGUGAAGAAGGGUUUCGGCUCGUAAAGCUCUGUUGGUAGUGAAGAAAGAUAGAGGUAGUAACUGGGCUUUAUUUGACGGUAAUUACUUAGAAAGUCACGGCUAACUAAGUGCCAGCAGCCGCGGUAAUACGUAGGUGGCAAGCGGUGUCCGGAUUUAUUGGGGGUAAAGCGAGUGAAGGCGGUUGCA